ACAUCUUCCAAUUAAUGCAU
rnacentral:miRNA from 1 species